CUGUCCAAUGAUUUAAAAUUUAAUGACUGCAGUAUUUUAACUGUGCUAAGGUAGCAAAAUCAAUAGUUUUUUAAUUGGAAACUGGAAUGAAUGAUUGAAUGAAAAAUAAACUUUUUUAUAAAUAUUUAAUUGAAUUUAAUUUUAAAGUAAAAAAUCUUUAAUAAUUUUAAAAGACGAUAAGACCCUAUAAAAUUUUAUAAUUAUAAAUAAUAAAUUAUUAAUUUUAAUUAAUUUAUUAUAUAAAUUAUUUUAUUGGGAUGAUAUUAAAAUUUUUAAAACUUUUAAAUUUUAUAAAUUAAUUAAAAUUUUAAAAGAAUAAUAAUUUAAUUAUUAUAAAAUAAAUUACUUUAGGGAUAACAGCAUAAUUUUUUUGGAAAGAUCAAAUUUAUAAAGAAGAUUAUGACCUCGAUGUUGAAUUAAAAUAAAAUAUUAUUGAAGAUAAUAAUAAU
rnacentral:rRNA from 1 species